CAGAGGGACACGUCAUCCAGUAGGAGCUGCACGACCUCUGCACUGUUCAACCACUGUGUCAGUCAUAACUGCUGCACUGAACAGAACAAUUCUCAGACUGAAUGUUGAACAUCAGCCUCUUUCUGCUCUUGACUUCAACCUUGUUGUAGAGAUGGAUCAUUGGCUGUGGAUUAUUCUGGCUGCUCUUUGCUACGAGUGUAAAGGAGAAGACAGAGUGAUCCAGACAACAGGAGACGCCACUGCUACUGAAGGAGACGCUCUUACGCUCAACUGUACAUUUGAGACAAGUAGUGGACUGCCGUAUUUGUUCUGGUACAAACAAGAAGUACACGAUUCUCCAAAGUACAUGUUGAGGCGUUUCUCAAAAUCAGUGGACAAUGCGCCAGAGUUUCCAAAAGAACGAUUUGAUGCUGCAAUUGAAGGUACAUCAGUUCCUCUGAAGAUCCAGAAGCUUCAAGUGUCUGACUCUGCUGUGUACUACUGUGCUCUGAGGCCCACAGUGACAGGAAACACCUCAACUCUGUACAAAAACCUCUGGAGCAAAGACAACACAAUGCUCCACAGCAUCCACCAGAGGGAGACACUGUCAUAAACUGAUAUUUCGGGAUGGAACUUUUUAGUUAUUUUUUCACUUAUGAGAAACAAACAAAAUUCCAUUUCCAACACUUUAAUUUCAAAUACUUGACCCUCAGUUUUUCUACAUCUCUAUCUUUCAAACUAAAUUUAAAACGACGGCAACAUGAGCAAACAAUAAAUAAAACAUUUUCUA